GGCAUGUUAGCUUAAUUGGUUAAGCGAUGUGUUUCGGCCACAAGGAUUGUAAGUUCGAGUCUUACACAUGUCU
rnacentral:tRNA from 5 species